rnacentral:rRNA from 1 species
AACGAACGCUGGCGGCAUGCCUAACACAUGCAAGUCGAACGAACCCUUCGGGGUUAGUGGCGCACGGGUGCGUAACGCGUGGGGAUCUGCCCUUUGCUUCGGAAUAACAGUUAGAAAUGACUGCUAAUACCGGAUGAUGUCGCAAGACCAAAGAUUUAUCGGCAAAGGAUGAACCCGCGUAGGAUUAGCUAGUUGGUGGGGUAAAGGCCUACCAAGGCGACGAUCCUUAGCUGGUCUGAGAGGAUGAUCAGCCACACUGGGACUGAGACACGGCCCAGACCCCUACGGGAGGCAGCAGUGGGGAAUAUUGGACAAUGGGCGAAAGCCUGAUCCAGCAAUGCCGCGUGAGUGAUGAAGGCCUUAGGGUUGUAAAGCUCUUUUACCCGAGAUGAUAAUGACAGUAUCGGGAGAAUAAGCUCCGGCUAACUCCGUG